rnacentral:rRNA from 1 species
GACGAACGCUGGCGGCGUGCCUAACACAUGCAAGUCGAACGGAGUGUUUAUUUAUAAACACUUAGUGGCGAACGGGUGAGUAACGCGUAGACAACCUACCCUCUAGAUGGGGACAACACCGCGAAAGUGGUGCUAAUACCGAAUGUUGUAAUGUUGUUGCAUAAUGAUAUUACUAAAGGUGGCCUCUAUAUAAAAGCUACCGCUAGAAGAUGGGUCUGCGUCUGAUUAGCUAGUUGGUGAGAUAACAGCUCACCAAGGCAAUGAUCAGUAGCCGGUCUGAGAGGAUGAACGGCCACACUGGGACUGAGACACGGCCCAGACUCCUACGGGAGGCAGCAGUGGGGAAUCUUCCGCAAUGGACGGAAGUCUGACGGAGCAACGCCGCGUGAGUGAAGAAGGUUUUCGGAUCGAAAGCUCUGUCUUCAAGGACGAAUGUAGAUAUUGUGAAUAAUGAUAUUUAAUGACGGUACUUGAGGAGGAAGCCACGGCUAACUACGUGCCAGCCGCCGCUGUAAUAC